CGUAAAGCGCACGCAGGCGGUUUGUUAAGUCAGAUGUGAAAUCCCCGGGCUCAACCUGGGAACUGCAUCUGAUACUGGCAAGCUUGAGUCUCGUAGAGGGGGGUAGAAUUCCAGGUGUAGCGGUGAAAUGCGUAGAGAUCUGGAGGAAUACCGGUGGCGAAGGCGGCCCCCUGGACGAAGACUGACGCUCAGGUGCGAAAGCGUGGGGAGCAAACAGGAUUAGAUACCCUGGUAGUCCACGCCGUAAACGAUGUCGACUUGGAGGUUGUGCCCUUGAGGCGUGGCUUCCGGAGCUAACGCGUUAAGUCGACCGCCUGGGGAGUACGGCCGCAAGGUUAAAACUCAAAUGAAUUGACGGGGGCCCGCACAAGCGGUGGAGCAUGUGGUUUAAUUCGAUGCAACGCGAAGAACC
rnacentral:rRNA from 1 species